AAUCUUGGACAAUGGGGGACACCCUGAUCCAGCCAUCCCGCGUGUAUGAUGAAGGCUUUCGGGUUGUAAAGUCCUUUUUGCAGCGAAGAAAAGGUACCUCCUAAUACGAGGUACUGCUGACGGUAUCUGCAGAAUAAGCCCCGGCUAACUACGUGCCAGCAGGCGCGGUAAUACGUAGGGUGCAAUCGUUAAUCGGAAGUACUGGGCGUAAAGCGUGUGUAGGCGGUUCGGAAAGAAAGAUGUGAAAUCCCAGGGCUCAACCUUGGAACUGCAUUUUUAACUGCCGAGCUAGAGUAUGUCAGAGGGGGGUAGAAUUCCACGUGUAGCAGUGAAAUGCGUAGAUAUGUGGAGGAAUACCGAUGGCGAAGGCAGCCCCCUGGGAUAAUACUGACGCUCAGACACGAAAGCGUGGGGAGCAAACA
rnacentral:rRNA from 1 species